CUCAGGAAGCCGAGCUCGUCUGGAUUCCCACCAUGGCCUGGGCCCCUCUGCUCCUCACGCUGCUCACUUACUGCUCAGGUUCUCUCGCCCAGUACGUGCUGACUCAACCGCCCUCAGUGUCUGUGUCUCCAGGGCAAAAUGCUCAACUCACCUGCUCAGGAAACAACAUUGGGGAUAAGUAUGUGCAGUGGUACCAACAGAAACCUGGCAGCGCCCCCGUACUCGUUAUAUAUAAGGAUAAUGAAAGACCCUCCGGAAUCCCUGAGCGAUUCUCUGGUGCCAACUCCGGUAACACGGCCACGUUAACCAUCACUGGAGUCCAGGCACAGGACGAGGCUGAUUAUUACUGUCAGGUGUGGGAUGCUAGCGCUGCUCACAGUGACACAACCAGAUGGGGAA